AAGUUCCUGGAGGAGGACAGAGUUUCCUGGAGGAGGACAGGGGUGCCUGGAGGAAGGACAGAGGGGUCUGGAUGAGGACAGAGGUGCCUGGAUGGAGGACAGAGGGGCCUGGAGGAGGAAAGAGGUGCCUGGAGGGAGGACAGAGGGGCCUGGAGGGAGGACAGAGGGGCCUGGAGGGAGGACAGAGGUUCCUGGAGGAGGACAGAGGUGCCUGGAGGGAGGACAGAUGGGUCUGGAUGAGGACAGAGGUGCCUGGACAGAGGACACAGGGGCCUGGAGGGAAGUCAGAGGAGCCUGGAAGAGGACAGAGGUUCCUGGAGGAGGACAGAGGUGCCUGGAGGGAGGACAGAGGCGCCUGGAAGGAGGACAGAGGAGCCUGGAGGGAGGACAGAGGAGCCUGGAGGAGGACAGAGGUGCCCGGAAGGAGGACAAAGGGGUCUGGAUGAGGACAGAGGUGCCUGGACAGAGGACAGAGGG